rnacentral:rRNA from 1 species
AAUCAACGCUGGCGGCGUGCCUAAUACAUGCAAGUCGAACGCGAAAGCCCCGCAAGGGGCAAGUAGAGUGGCAAACGGGUGAGUAACGCGUGGGCGACCUGCCCUCGAGUGGGGGAUAACCUUCCGAAAGGAGGGCUAAUACCGCAUGAUAUGCCGUGUUUGGAUACACGGACAUCAAAGCUGGGGAUCGCAAGACCUGGCGCUUGAGGAGGGGCCUACGUCCGAUUAGCUAGUUGGUGGGGUAACGGCUCACCAAGGCGACGAUCGGUAUCCGGCCUGAGAGGGCGGACGGACACACUGGGACUGAGACACGGCCCAGACCCCUACGGGAGGCAGCAGUAGGGAAUUGUUCGCAAUGGGCGAAAGCCUGACGACGCAACGCCGCGUGGAGGAUGAAGACUUUCGGGUCGUAAACUCCUUUCGACCGAGAUGAAUACCUGCUGACCUUAUACGUCGGCAGGCUGACAGUAUCGAGGGAAGAAGCCCCGGCUAACUCCGUGCCAGCAGCCGCGGUAAUACGGGGGGGGCAAGCGUUGUUCGGAAUUACUGGGCGUAAAGGGUUCGUAGGUGGCCAACUAAGUCAGACGUGAAAUCCCUCGGCUCAACCGGGGAACUGCGUCUGAUACUG